CCGCUAUCCAUCGCAUUGUCUGAUCUACAAUGGCUCAACAGUGAAUGGCGGACAAGUUAAUAAACACAGCGCCUAUUGAGCGGGUUGCUGCAAUCCGAAGCGGAGAGAUUCGUUUGGACUGCGGUUUGCUUUUUGUGCCCAUUUGCAAUGGCGUU
rnacentral:ncRNA from 1 species